GACGAACGCUGGCGGCGUGCUUAACACAUGCAAGUCGAACGGAAAGGCCCUGCUUUUGUGGCGCGCUCGAGUGGCGAACGGGUGAGUAACACGUGAGUAUCCCGCCCCUGUCUUUGGGAUAACUUCAGGAAACUGGGGCUAUUACCGGAUAGGAGCUCCUGCUGCAUGGUGGUGGUUGGAAAGUGUGGGUGGUGGGGGAUGGGCUCGCUGCUUACGAGCUUGUUGGUGGGGUAGUGGCUUACCAAGGCUUUGACGGCUAGCCGGCCUGGGAGGUGGACCGGCCACAUGGGGCCUAGGAUAGGGCCCAGCACCCAACGGGAGGCAGUGGGGGGAAAUAUGGCAGAGUGGCGGGAAGCCGGUGGAGGAACGCCGCGGUGCGGAAAACCGGCUUUUGGGUGGAAAACCGCUUUCGCAGGUACCGAGCAGUGAGUGACGGUAACGGGUAAAGAAGCACCGGCUAACUACGUG
rnacentral:rRNA from 1 species